GUUGAGGAUUGCACAGUAGCGGAAGGCGAGGGCUGCUCUGGAUUCCUCUUUCAUGACCUGAGUUAGCCGUAUCCUGAAGUCAUCAACCAGGCAUUUUGGCACCUUCUAGUUUAAAAUCCACAGCUAUUCCCGAAUCAAUUUUAGCAAAACGGCUGGAAGUGGAAAGAGUACAGGGUUUUCACACUGCCAAAGGAGUUUUUAUACAUAUGAACCCGAUUGUGAUCAAAGACUGAGAGGCAGACUAGAAUGACCUAGGCUGAAACUGAAAC